CACCUAAGCGGAACCUACGAACUUAACUGCUGCACCACCGGGUUGGCCCAGAUUUCGGUUUUAGAAACUUCAUCUUGGCAGAAUAGAGGGUGGAAAGGAGGGGGCUGGGCUAGGCACAGGCCAAAACCUUUUGGGGCUCCCCAGGCCUUCCAGCAUAGCGUUCCAACUCCUUUCUUUCAGGGGCCGAGAAGACCGCACCUCCCGCCACCACUCCCCCUCCUUUCCUCCAGCCUUGGAGGUAUCUGCUCUUGUGCGUGGGCCUCCUCCUCCAAACCCUGUGGGAGGGAGAGGGAGGUGCGCUCGGAGGCCCCGCCCACAAGAGGGCACGCUUGCGUGCGCGACGCGGCGGCCGCCAUCUUGGACUCGGGCAGCCCGCUCACUUCCUGCAGUCUUGGGGAGGGUUGCGUCUUCGAGCUGCGGCUGCACCCGGGGCCGCAGAGGCGACCUUACACCUCCUACUCAGCUAACCCCUCGGCAGGCUUGUGCUUGAGACCAGUGGCGCCAGCUCCCAUCCUUCCAGCCUCCACGUAAAACGUGGAACCAGCAUCCUGAUGGCGAGUGCCAGCUCCCCGCCCUUUCCUACCUGUGACUCUGGGCAGGAGAUUGCGGGGUGCCUCGUAGGCACCACCGUUCCGGCCACCACUGCUGCGAGGACCACUCUCCAUGACUACAUUUGUGCGCUGACUCUUUGAAGACCAAGUCGGAGGGGCGAGGGGAUUGGCAAGACGCCCUCAGAGGAGUGAAAGUGAAGCCGAGUCCUUUAGGACUUCCAUGUGACCGUUUAGGAAGGGUGUCAGAACAGAGACCAGGAUGCCCGGGCCUGGAAAGACUUUGUAAAUUUUGGAACAUUUCAACGCCCCCACACGUGUUAUUUUUAUCACCCCUGGCUGCGUCCCCAUAGGGACUCCCAUGCAGCACAAAACUAGAAUGAAAAGCCCUGUGUGUGUGCUAGCUGUGGGGGACAUCCAGAAGAGGGAGCUGGGACAGUGUGUCCCAGGCAGAGCCAAGUGUGGGGGAGAAGAGCUUUUUGGGCUAGCGUGGGUGAUGGCCCAAGGAAGAGAGAGGAAAUCAGGCCAGGCCUAAGGUGGCCUGUGGGGGUCCCCAGGCAUGUGCAGCUGCUCUACCACUCUGCAGCCGGAGUCCAACAGUUUGGGGUCCCCCGACUUCCUAAGGGAGUGGAAAACUUGCCUGGAACCCUAAGAAAUGAGGGAAGUGCCUGGAGAAGGGGCUAGAGAUUGGGGAGGAGCCAAGACCUUCUAGGGGUCUGGAGACCACACCCAGCUCUCCACAGGAUUCUGCAGGCCCAAGAUGAGACAUUAUUCAGUAAUAAACCAGGUGAAUGUCAGGCAUGCCCAGGUUCCCCCAUCCAGCCUGAUGGAGAGGCGGGGGCGGGGGGGCGGGCAGAAGACAGAAAAAUUAGCAAGCGGUUGUGGGGGGACUGCAGUUUAUUUUCAGGCAUAGAGGGUUGAGGGGUGGCAGUAGGCUCCAUCUGCAGCCCCUC